AGUGAACGCUGGCGGUAGGCCUAACACAUGCAAGUCGAACGGCAGCACAGUAAGAGCUUGCUCUUACGGGUGGCGAGUGGCGGGCGGGUGAGGAAUACAUCGGAAUCUACUUUUUCGUGGGGGAUAACGUAGGGAAACUUACGCUAAUACCGCAUACGACCUACGGGUGAAAGCAGUGGAUCUUCGGACCUUGCGCGAUUGAAUGAGCCGAUGUCGGAUUAGCUAGUUGGCGGGGUAAAGGCCCACCAAGGCGACGAUCCGUAGCUGGUCUGAGAGGAUGAUCAGCCACACUGGAACUGAGACACGGUCCAGACUCCUACGGGAGGCCGCAGUGGGGAAUAUUGGACAAUGGGCGCAAGCCUGAUCCAGCCAUACCGCGUGGGUGAAGAAGGCCUUCGGGUUGUAAAGCCCUUUUGUUGGGAAAGAAAAGCAGCAGGUUAAUACCCCGCUGUUCUGACGGUACCCAAAGAAUAAGCACCGGCUAACUUCGUG
rnacentral:rRNA from 1 species